AAGGUGGCUUAUGCAACAGCUAUGGAUUGGUUUAUUGCCGUAUGCUAUGCCUUU
rfam:Callithrix jacchus chromosome 2, whole genome shotgun sequence